rnacentral:rRNA from 1 species
AUUGAACGCUGGCGGCAGGCCUAACACAUGCAAGUCGAACGAGUGGCGGAAGGGUGAGUAAUGUCUGGGAAACUGCCUGAUGGAGGGGGAUAACUAAUGGAAACGGUAGCUAAUACCGCAUACCAUCAGAUGUGCCCAGAUGGGAUUAGAUUGUUGGUGGGGGAACGGCUAACCAAGGCGCCGAUCCCUAGCUGGUCUGAGAGGAUGACCAGCCACACUGGAACUGAGACACGGUUCAGACGCCUAAGGUAGGCAGCAGUGGUGAAUAUUGAACAAUGGGCGCAAGCCUGAUGCAGCCAUGCCGCGUGUAUGAAGAAGGCCUUCGGGUUGUAAAGUACUUUCAGCGGGGAGGCGUGACCCGCAGAAGAAGCACCGGCUAACUCCGUGCCAGCAGCCGCGGUAAUUC